rnacentral:pre_miRNA from 1 species
AUAAUACUCCCUCCGUCCAGAAUUAUUUUUCAUCAAAAUGGAUGUGUCUAGAACUAAAAUACAUCUAGAUACAUCCAUUUCAAUGACAAGUAUUUUCGGACGGAGGGAGUAGUAG